UACGUAGGGUGCGAGCGUUAAUCGGAAUUACUGGGCGUAAAGGGCGCGCAGGCGGCUUGCUAAGACAGGUGUGAAAGCCCCGAGCUUAACUUGGGAAUGGCGCUUGUGACUGGCAGGCUGGAGUGUGGCAGAGGGAGGUGGAAUUCCACGUGUAGCAGUGAAAUGCGUAGAGAUGUGGAGGAACACCGAUGGCGAAGGCAGCCUCCUGGGCCAACACUGACGCUCAUGCACGAAAGCGUGGGGAGCAAACAGG
rnacentral:rRNA from 1 species